GAUGAACGCUGGCGGCGUGCCUAAUACAUGCAAGUCGAGCGAACAGACGAGGAGCUUGCUCCUCUGACGUUAGCUACGGACGGGUGAGUAACACGUGGAUAACCUACCUAUAAUACUGUGCUAACUUCAUGAAGCCGGAGUCAAUACCGGAUAAUAUAUUGAACAUCAUGGUUUAAUAGUAAAUGACAUUUUUGCCGUCACUUCUAUGUGCUACCGCGCCCUAUUAGCUAGUUGGGAAGGUAACGGCUUACCAAGGCAACGAUGCGUAGCCGACCUGAGAGGGUGAUCGGCCACACUGGAACUGAGACACGGUCCAGACUCCUACGGGAGGCAGCAGUAGGGAAUCUUCCGCAAUGGGCGAAAGCCUGACAGAGCAAAGCCGCGUGAAUGAUGAAGGUCUUCGGAUCGUAAAACUCUGUUAUUAGGGAAGAACAAAUGUGUAAGUAAAUAUGCACGUCUUGACGGUACCUAAUCAGAAAGCCACGGCUAACUACGUG
rnacentral:rRNA from 1 species